AAGAGCUCAGAUUUGAAAUCGUGCUUUGCGGCACGAGUUGUAGAUUGCAGGUUGGAGUCUGUGUGGAAGGCGGUGUCCAAGUCCCUUGGAACAGGGCGCCCAGGAGGGUGAGAGCCCCGUGGGAUGCCGGCGGAAGCAGUGAGGCCCUUCUGACGAGUCGAGUUGUUUGGGAAUGCAGCUCCAAGCGGGUGGUAAAUUCCAUCUAAGGCUAAAUACUGGCGAGAGACCGAUAGCGAACAAGUACUGUGAAGGAAAGAUGAAAAGCACUUUGAAAAGAGAGUGAAACAGCACGUGAAAUUGUUGAAAGGGAAGGGUAUUGCGCCCGACAUGGGGAUUGCGCACCGCUGCCUCUCGUGGGCGGCGCUCUGGGCUUUCCCUGGGCCAGCAUCGGUUCUUGCUGCAGGAGAAGGGGUUCUGGAACGUGGCUCUUCGGAGUGUUAUAGCCAGGGCCAGAUGCUGCGUGCGGGGACCGAGGACUGCGGCCGUGUAGAUCACGGAUGCUGGCAGAACGGCGCAACACCGCCCGUCUUGAAACACGGACC
rnacentral:rRNA from 1 species